GAUGAACGCUGGCGGCGUGCUUAACACAUGCAAGUCGAACGAAGCACUUAAGAUUGAUUCUUCGGAUGACGUCUUUUGUGACUUAGUGGCGGACGGGUGAGUAACGCGUGGGUAACCUGCCUCACACAGGGGGAUAACAGUUAGAAAUGACUGCUAAUACCGCAUAACCCGAUAGGAUCGCAUGAUCCAGACGGAAAAGAUUUAUCGGUGUGAGAUGGACCCGCGUCUGAUUAGCUAGUUGGUGAGGUAACGGCCCACCAAGGCGACGAUCAGUAGCCGGCCUGAGAGGGUGAACGGCCACAUUGGGACUGAGACACGGACAAAACUCAUACGGGAGGCAGCAGUGGGGAAUAUUGCAAAAUGGGGGAAACCCUGAUGCAGCGACGCCGCGUGAGUGAAGAAGUAUUUCGGUAUGUAAAGCUCUAUCAGCAGGGAAGAAAAUGACGGUACCUGACGAAGAAGCCCCGGCUAACUACGUG
rnacentral:rRNA from 1 species